GCAAUUGCUUUUGAGGACUUACCCAUAAAUUCAUUGCCAAGUGCAAUGUCCAGACGAAUAUUUCCUAGGUUUUCUUCCAGGAUUUUUAUAGUCAGAGGAUGUAAUCUUAUGCCAACGGGUCUUAAUAAUCAAAUGACUCCACAGUGAGAAUCAUUACUCUGAAAAAUUGAUUUUGUUAGAAUGAUGGAAAUUUAAAUAUUUGAAAGUAAAAACACAUGCCACCUUUUUCCUAGAACUCUGCAAGGCAAAUUGCUGUAAGACAGGCAGAGGAAGCACAAUAUAUAUACAUAUCCAAAAUAUAAUUUGCAGUGAAAUAAAUGAAAGCAAAUUAUAAAUAAACUUACCUGAUUUUACAAACUAACCUUUAAAGGGAUUUCUACUAAUUUUUCUAUUGCCUGCAUUGCCCUUUCUUCUAGAUCCAAUUUAUAUUUUUGUACUUCACCAAUGUGUCUCCACCAUUGUGUAGUUUCCAUAUGUUUUUUAAGAUUUAAUAUUACUUUUUCCAACAUCUUUUUAUCCUCAAGUUUUUUAUAUUCCUGUUGUAUUUUUUUAUAGAUAAUAACUCCUGUUGAAUAACUUUUUAGUCAAAUAGACAUAUUUUGAAGAUACAGCUUUCAGCUUUGCUGUAAGAUCAUCGAACUACAUUAAUAAAAUAAUAUAGCUUGAUAAUGAAGUAGGCUGAGAAUAAUCUCAUACAAAACCAAUAACAAAUUUUGAAAUACAUUUACUUGCAAUAAAAUGUUAUCUAUAAUGUAGAUUCUUUAAAUGUUAACCCGUACUCAGAAAUUCAAGAACAAAGUAAAAGCCACCAUGAGUCACAAACAUAUAUUCUUUACUCUCAUCAUCUUUGCCACAGAACUUUUGCACUUGAUCUUACUGUUGUUUUUCUGAUAAUUUGUGUUUUUUCCUUUCUUAAAUGGCUCUAAGUUAACUCUUAUUAGAAAGUUUCAAACCCCCUUCUCUCAUCAUCAUGCCCCAAAAUUUGUCAAAAAAAAGUUUCAGAGAUAUUAUAUUGAGUUAUUUAGGCCAAAGGCAAUAAAUGGCUCUUACAAUAAGACUUUGAAAAUAAUGUAAUACUCUACAAUAGGCAUGGUGUAUCAUGCAUAUAAUCCUAGCACUUUAGGAGGCUGUGGCAGAAAGAUCCCUUGAGGUCAAACAUUUGAGAUCAGCCAGAGCAACAUAGUGAUACCAUAAUCUCGACAAAAAAAAAAAAAAAAAAAAAAAACGUGAAAAAAUUAGCCACGCAUGAUGCCUUAUGCUUGUAGAUCCAACUGGUUGGGAGAUUAAGGCAAAAGGAUGGCUUGGACUCAAGAGUUCAGGGCUGUGGUGAAUUAUGAUCAAACCACGGCACUUCUGCCUCGAUAACAAAGACCAUAUCUCAAAAAAACACAAAAUAAUCCUAUAAAUAAGGAUUCUAAUGCCACAAGCCUUUCCAUAGGCUGUAAAUGUUUUAUGCUAAUUUGAAUUGCAUUUUAAAAAGUAAUGAUUCUUGGGGUAAAGGCCAUAGAAUACAGUCCCAAGAAAUAAAUCCACAUAUUUACCUUACAAGAAAUAAAUCCACAUUCUUGUGUUACAAGAGCUCCUGAAGGAGACACUAAACGUAGAAAGGAAAAACCAGUACCAGCCACUACAAAAACAUAUCGAAUUGUAAAGACCAUUGACACUAUAAAGAAACUGCAAACUAAUGGGAAAAAUAAAAAGCUAGCAACAUCAUGACAGGAUAAAUUUCACAUGUAACAAUACUAAACUUAAAUGUAAAUGGGCUAAAUGCCCCAGUUAAAAGACACAGACUGGCAAGUUGGAUAAAGAGUAAAGACCCAUUGUUGUCCUGUAUUCAGGAGACCCAUCUCAUGUGCAAAGACACACAUAGGCUUAAAAUAAAGGGAUGGAGGUAUAUUUACCAAGCAAAUGGAAAGCAAAAAAGAGCAGGGUUUGCAAUCCUAGUCUCUGAUAAAACAGACAUUAACUGAAAAAGAUCAAGAGAGACAAAGAACAGCACUACAAAGCAGUGCCAUCUGCUUUUCCUCAGGCCUCUGCUCCAUCAGCCAUCAGGUGGCAGCCACUCAGGAUGUUGGAACCUGGCCAUCCCUGCUUCUUUCAGUGGGUGAGGUUGGUGGCUGCUCCACCUGUUCCAGGCACACCCUUAACAGAGGUGGCUGCUUGCUCUUUAAGCCAGCUUGGCCUUGCCUGGCAUGCACAGGCCCCGGGGACCGACAUGCUGCUCUGACUGAGACCGUCCUGACUUUGUCAAAUUCUACGUCUGGCCUGGGCCACAGAAGCACAAGUCCCCUGGGUGGUACCACUGGCUGCUUUCUGGACUGGAACAUAAAGUCCUCCUCAAGAUGACCUGUGGUCUGCCUCUUGGCAACCAACAAGCCCGCAGUGUCAUACGACCCAUGAGACAUGGACUGAAGGCCCAAAGGGAGUGCACACCAUGCUCCAGAGCCAGCUGCUCCUUUCCUCUAUAUGGCCCCAUUUGCAGCACAGUUGUUGCACUGAGGCUUGUGCAUGCUGGGCAAGGGCAAGCUGGCUCAAAGGGCAACCAGCUAUCUUUGCACGGAUGUGCCAGCAGCAGGCAGACCAGCCAUCAACCUCACACGCUGCCAGUCAGGCUAAAUCAGCUCUUCUACCAUAAAGGUAGGGCCACAGUGCCAUCUGGUUUUCCUAAGGCCUCUGUUUCUUCAGCCAUUAGGUGGCACCCACUCAGGCUUUGGGAACCUGGCUACCCCGGCUUCCUGGAGUGGGUGAGCUGGUGGCUGCUCCACCUGCUCUAGGUGCACCCUUGCAGAGGUGGCUGGUUGCUCUUUGAGCCAGCUUGGCCUUGCCUGGCAUGCACAGACCCCAGCUACGGACACGCUACUCCAAGUGAGCUUGUCCUGUCUACGGCCAAAUUCUAAGUUUGGCCAGGGCCACAGAAGGCAGAGUCCCGAGGGUGGUAAUCCUGGCUGCUUUCUGCACUUGAACAUAAAGUCCUUCUCAAGAUGGCCUAUGGUCUGCCUCUUGGCAACCAAGAAGCCCACAGUGACAUAAGACCCUUGAGGCAAGGACUGGAGCCCCCAAAGGCAGCAUACACCUUGCUCCUGAGAUGGCUGCUCGUUUCCCCUAUAUGGCUCCAUUUGUAGCACAGUAGUAGCACUGAGGCUUGUGCAUGCUGGGCAAGGCUAAGAGGGCUCAAAGAGCAACCAGUCACCUCUGCGAGGGUGUGCCAGGAGCUGGGGGCACAGCCACCAACCUCACUCGCUGCAGGACAUGGAACAUCAGUUCUUCUAACAAAAAGGUAGGGCCAAGGGCCAUCUGCUUUUCCUAAGGCCUUUGCUAUAUCAGCCAUCAGGUGGCAGCCACUCAGGCUGUGGGAACAUGGCCAUCCACUUCCUUGACUGGGUAAGGUUGGUGGCUGGUCCACCUCCUCCAGACGCACCCCUGCAGAGGUGGCUGGUUGCUCAUUGAGCCAGUUUGGCCUUGUCUGGCACGCACAGAUUUGAGGUACUAACACGCUGCUCUGAGUGAGCUUGUCCUGCCUUGGCACAAAUUCUAUGUCUGGCCAGGGCCACAGAAGACCAAGUCCCCUGGAUGGUGAUCCUGGCUGCUUUCUGCAGUGGAACAUAAACUCCUUCUCAAGAUGGCCUGUGGUUGGCCUCUUGGCAACCAAGAAUCGUGCAGUGGCAUAGGAGCCCUGAGGCAUGGAUUGGAGAGCCGAAGGCAGCGCAUACCCUGCUCCUGAGCCUGCUGCUUGUUUCCUCUCUGUGGCUCCAUUUGUAGCACAGUUGUUGCACUGAAGCUUGUACAUGCCCGGCAAGGCCAAGCUGGCUCAAAGAGCAACCAGCCACCUCUGCAAGGAAGAACAGGUGCACCAGUUACCAACUACAGGUCGGAGAUGGUACAUCAGUUCUUCAACCCUAGAGUUGGGCCACAGUGCCAUCUGCUUUUCCUAAGGCCACUGCUCCAUCAGGAAUUAGGUGGCAGCCAAGGCAGGACAAGCACACUCGGAGCAGUGUGUUAGCACCUGGGGCCUGUGCAUGCCAGGGAGGCCAAGCUGGCUCAAAGAGCAACCAGACACCUCUGCAAGGUCUGGCCAGGGCUAUAGAAGGUCCCCCUGGAUGGUAAUCCUGGCUGCUUUCUGCACUUGAAUAUAAAGUCCUCCCCAAGAUGGCCUGUGGUCUGCCUCUUGGCAACCAAGAAGCCCGCAGUGCCAUGUGACACCUGAGGCAUGGACUGGAGCCCCAAAGGCAGGGUACACCCUUCUCCUGAACCUGCUUCUUGUUUCCUCUAUAUGGCUCCAUUUGUGGCAAAGUUGUUGCACUGAAACUUGUGCAUGCCGGGCAAGGACAAGCUGGCUCAAAGAGCAACCAGCCACCUCUGCAAAGGUGUAGCAGGAGCCGGUGUACCAGUCACCAAUUAGCGUCCUACCCUAAAGGUAGGGCCACAGUGCCAUCUGCUUUUCUUAAGGCCUCUGCUCCAUCAGCAAUAAGGUGGCAGACACUCAGGCUGUGGGAACCUGGCCAUCCCCACUUCCUCGAGCGGGUGAGGUGGUGGAUGCUCCGCCUGCACUAGGCGCACCCUUGCAGAGGUGGCUGGUUGCUCUUUGAGCCAGCUCGGCCUUGCCUGGCAUGCAUAGGCCCCAGCGACUGACACGCUGCUCCGAGUGAGCUUGUCCUGCCUUGGCACAAAUUCUAUGUCUGGCCAGGGCCACAGAAGGCCGAGUCCCCUGGAUGGUAAUCCUGGCUGCUUUCUGUACUUGAACGUAAAGUCCUCAUCAAGACGGCCUGUGGUCUUCCUCUUGGCAACCAAGAAGCCUGCAGUGCCAUACGACCCCUGAGGCAUGGACUGGAGCCCCAAAGGCAGCGCACACCUGGUUUCUGAGCCUGCUGCUUGUUUCCUCUCUGUGGCUCCAUUUGUAGCACAGUUGUUGCACUGAAGCUUGUGCAUGCUGGGCAAGGCCAAGCUGGCUCAAAGAGCAACCAGCCACCUCUGCAAGGGUGUGCCAGGAGCAGGUGUACCAGUCACCAACUAACGGCCAGACAUGGUACAUCACUUCUACCCUAAAGGUGGGCCACAGUGCCAUCUGCUUUUCCUAAGGCCACUGCUCCAUCAGGAAUUAGGUGGCAGCCAAGGCAGGACAAGCACACUCGGAGCAGUGUGUUAGUACCUGGGGCCUGUGCAUGCCAGGGAGGCCAAGCUGGCUCAAAGAGCAACCAGACACCUCUGCAAGGUCUGGCCAGGGCUAUAGAAGGUCCCCCUGGAUGGUAAUCCUGGCUGCUUUCUGCACUUGAAUAUAAAGUCCUCCCCAAGAUGGCCUGUGGUCUGCCUCUUGGCAACCAAGAAGCCUGCAGUGCCAUGUGACACCUGAGGCAUGGACUGGAGCCCCAAAGGCAGGGUACACCCUUCUCCUGAACCUGCUUUUUCUUUCCUCUAUAUGGCUCCAUUUGUGGCAAAGUUGUUGCACUGAAACUUGUGCAUGCCGGGCAAGGACAAGCUGGCUCAAAGAGCAACCAGCCACCUCUGCAAAGGUGUACCAGGAGCCGGUGUACCAGUCACCAAUUAGCGUCCGGACAUGUACAUCACUUUUUCCACCCUAAAGGUAGGGCCACAGUGCCAUCUGCUUUUCUUAAGGCCUCUGCUCCAUCAGCAAUAAGGUGGCAGACACUCAGGCUGUGGGAACCUGGCCAUCCCCACUUCCUCGAGCGGGUGAGGUGGUGGAUGCUCCGCCUGCACUAGGCGCACCCUUGCAGAGGUGGCUGGUUGCUCUUUGAGCCAGCUUGGCCUUGCCUGGCAUGCAUAGGCCCCAGCUACUGACACGCUGCUCCGAGUGAGCUUGUCCUGCCUUGGCACAAAUUUUAAGUCUCGCCAGGGCCACAGAAGGCUCAGUCCCAUGGAUGGUAAUUUUGGCUGCUUUCUGCACUUGAACGUAAAGUCCUCCUCAAGAAGGCCUGUGGUCCGCCUCUUGGCAACCAAGAAGCCUGCAGUACCAUACGAUCCGAGGCAUGGACUGGAGCCCCAAAGGCAGUGCACACCCUGCUCCUGAGCUUGCUGCUUGUUUCCUCUCUGUGGCUCCAUUUGUAGGACAGUUGUUGCACUGAAGCUUGUGCAUGCCGGGCAAGGCCAAGCUGGCUCAAACAGCAACCACCCACCUCUGCAAGGGUAUGCCUGGAGCAGGUGCACCAGUCACCAUCUAGCGGCCGGACAUGGUACAUCACUUCUUCUACCCUAAAGGUGGGCUACAGCACCAUCUGCUUUUCCUAAGGCCACUGCUCCAUCAGCAGUUAGGUGGCAGCCAAGGCAGGACAAGCUCACUCAGAGCAGCGUGUUAGUACCUGGGGCCUGUGCAUGCCAGGGAGGCCGAGCUCGCUCAAAGAGCAACCAGCCACCUCUGCAAGGCUGGGCCAGGAGCAGGCGGACCAGCCACCAACCUCACUCCCUGCCAGACAUGGUACAUCCUU
rnacentral:lncRNA from 10 species